GCCAUUGGGAUCUGUGAACCACAAUAAUAAGAAUGCCCAAAUCAGGCUUCCAGAGAUGCUUGGAACUGGAAACACCUCUAACAACAAAGACACAAAGCAACAGUGCAUGUGUGCCAAGCAAUGACCUCACUGACAACACUGCUCCUUUACUGAGCGUUGGCCACUACUUCCGCGUGCCAUGACAUGAAGGUGCAACGUGGCACCUUUGGCCUCCAAUAUUCUCACUUGAAAGGUGCCGCUGCUGUCAACAGGAAACGACCUCAAGAGAAGGACGUGAAAUGGCAGAGUUCCUGGAAGGAGAACACACAACCCAUGAGUGGCAACACUACGUGAUGCAAGAGCUGCACGCUGCACAAUGCUGCCAUGCGCAGAGGCUCUCUCCAAGCCCUCGGGCACUCACACAGCAGCAUAAAAGCCGGCCCUGCACCUCGCUCCCUCACACCCUUCUCCUGACACCUUCUCCUCUCUGCUCCUACAGGGACCCUCCACCCCACAGCCAUGUCCUGCUACGACCUCUGCCGCCCCUGCGGACCCACCCCGCUGGCUAACAGCUGCAACGAGCCCUGUGUCAGGCAGUGCCAGGACUCCCAAGUCGUCAUCCAGCCUUCCACCGUGGUGGUCACCCUGCCGGGACCCAUCCUCAGCUCCUUCCCCCAGAACACCGCCGUCGGAUCCUCCUCAUCAGCUGCCGUGGGCAGCGCCCUCAGCGCCCAGGGAGUGUCCAUCUCCUCCGGCGGCUUCGGCUUCGGAGGCCUGGGCUGCUUCAACGGCGGGAGAGCCCGCUACCCCUGCUAAGGGCCUGCUAACGAAUGGAGACUGGAC